GACGAACGCUGGCGGCGUGCCUAAUACAUGCAAGUCGAACGCAGUGGGGACGGGUGAGUAACACGUGGGUAACCUCCCAUCAGAGGGGAUAACACUUGGAAACAGGUGCUAAACCGAUACUGAUGGAUGGACCCGCGGUGCAUUAGCUAGUUGGUGAGGUAACGGCUCACCAAGGCCACGAUGCCUAGCCGGCCUGAGAGGGUGGUCGGGCCAACUGGGACCGAGACACGGCCCAGACCCCUACGGGAGGCAGCAGGAGGGAAUUUUCGGGAAGUGGGGAAAGUCUGACCGAGCCAAGCCGCGGUAAUGAAGAAGGUUUUCGGGUCGUAAAAUCCUUUUGGUAGAGAAGCGGUAUCUAACCAGAAAGCCACGGCUAACUACGUGCCAGCCGCCGCGGUAAUUC
rnacentral:rRNA from 1 species